rnacentral:rRNA from 1 species
CCUACGGGAGGCAGCAGUGAGGAAUAUUGGUCAAUGGGCGGGAGCCUGAACCAGCCAAGUCGCGUGAGGGAAGACGGUCCUACGGAUUGUAAACCUCUUUUGCCGGGGAGCAACGGGGUCCUUGCGAGGGCCCGAUGAGAGUACCCGGAGAAAAAGCAUCGGCUAACUCCGUGCCAGCAGCCGCGGUAAUACGGAGGAUGCGAGCGUUAUCCGGAUUUAUUGGGUUUAAAGGGUGCGUAGGCGGGCUGUUAAGUCAGCGGUCAAAUGUCCGGGCUCAACCCGGGCCUUGCAGCGCGAACUGGCGUGCUUGAGUCCGGGGAAAGCAGGCGGAAUUCGUCGUGUAGCGGUGAAAUGCUUAGAUAUGACGAAGAACCCCGAUUGCGAAGGCAGCUUGCUGCAGCGGAACUGACGCUGAUGCUCGAAAGCGCGGGUAUCGAACAGGAUUAGAUACCCCAGUAGUC